rnacentral:sRNA from 1 species
UGACCGCCUUUUUGCGCUUUCUUCCGCGAAAAAAGGCUGAGGCUACACGGACGGCCGGGUCAAAUGCCGA